rnacentral:lncRNA from 1 species
UUGGAUUCAAGUCAUAAAAUUAUGAAUAUUUUGUAACUAUUUAAACUUCUAGACUUUUUUCAAACAAGUUAUUUUUUUACCUUAUCCAUUAAACAAAUCCCAAGAUAAAAUAAACAAUAUGUAUCAAAAAUUAAUUAUCUUGCUAUAUUAGACCUAAACAUUAUUGUUUUAGUGUUGUGGAUGGUAAGACCCGAGCAAGCUCAAUUUC